rnacentral:rRNA from 1 species
UACGGGGGGGAGCAAGCGUUGUUCGGAUUUACUGGGCGUAAAGGGCGCGUAGGCGGCGUGACAAGUCACUUGUGAAAUCUCCGGGCUUAACUCGGAACGGUCAAGUGAUACUGUCGUGCUAGAGUACAGAAGGGGCAACUGGAAUUCUCGGUGUAGCGGUGAAAUGCGUAGAUAUCGAGAGGAACACCUGCGGCGAAGGCGGGUUGCU